CCCCCUGCUCCUGCUCUCUCGCCAAACUAACCAGAUGGACGCACAUAACCUGCAACGAGGCUAUACGUGCAGCAGCGCAACACUGUUGUUUGGGAUAAUGGGCUUUUGGUUGUUUGUGACUUCGCGGAGGAAGACCGUCCAUUAGUUGCAUCUGCGCUUGACAUAAGCUAAGCAGCCGUUAGCUGUCACCCGAUGUAUUCUGAGUCGGCGUCACAGCACACAGCAUGAGAAAUGGCCCCUUUUUCAUCUGGAAUUUAGAUUCGCCCAAAGUCACCAGCCGAAAGGAGCCAGCUACUUGAGGAAGAUGUACUCUUAUAAUGUAAAUGAUUUGAAACAAUAAAGAUUUAAAUUACUA